rnacentral:rRNA from 1 species
AACGAACGCUGGCGGCGCGCCUAAUACAUGCAAGUCGAACGAGAAGCUGUAGCAAUACAGUUGUACAGUGGCGAACGGGUGAGGAAUACAUGGGUGACCUACCCUCGAGUGGGGAAUAACCAGCCGAAAGGUUGGCUAAUACCGCGUACGCUUCCCAGUCUACGGGUUGGGAAGGAAAGCGAUGCCGUGGGUAUCGCGCUCAAGGUUGGACUCAUGUCCUAUCAGCUUGNGGUGGGUAACGGCUCACCAAGCAACGACGGGUAGCUGGUCUGAGAGGACGAUCAGCCACACUGGCACUGCGACAC